AAAAACAUAGUAUAAUAUAAUACAUUUCACUUACACUGAAAAUAUACUUAGAUGUUUAAGUUGUUUUUA
rnacentral:tRNA from 1 species